rnacentral:rRNA from 1 species
GUUAGGAAUAUUGGACAAUGGGCGAAAGCCUGAUCCAGCCAUGCCGCGUGAACGAUGAAGGCCUUCGGGUUGUAAAGUUCUUUAGCCGAUGAUUAUAAUGACUGUAGUCGGAAAAUAAGCCCCGGCUAACUUCGUGCCAGCAGCCGCGGUAAUACGAAGGGGGCGAGCGUUAUUCGGAAUCACUGGGCGUAAAGCGUGCGUAGGCGGUCUCGUAAGUUAGGAGUGAAAGCCCAGGGCUCAACCUUGGAAUUGCUCUUAAUACUGCAAGGCUAGAAUCUCGGAGAGGAUAGCGGAAUUUCCAGUGUAGCAGUGAAAUGCGUAGAUAUUGGAAGGAACACCAGUGGCGUAAGCGGCUAUCUGGACGAGUAUUGACGCUGAGGCACGAAAGCGUGGGGAGCAAACAGGAUUAGAAACCCGGGUAGUCC